rnacentral:rRNA from 1 species
AUGGAUGCUUCUCUUGUACCCGAGGGAAAUCCAAGGUUGUCACCAACAAGGUUUGUGAAGGUUUUCUUGCACGGGGAGCCCUUUGGAAGGAAGAUAAAUUUGGCUACUCACAAUAGUUAUGACUCAUUGUCCUUCACUCUGAAAAGACUGGGAAGUAACUACUCGCUUUCACAGUACCAACUUAGUGGCUUGGCGAUGAGUGAAGAAGAAGGUGCAAUAGAUAACGACUUCAUGUUUUUGUACGAUAACGUGGAUGGUUAUCGUUUCUUUCUUGGUGAAGUCCCAUGGGUGGAUUUCAUUGUUUCAGUCAAGAAGAUCUACAUUCUUCCUGGAGAAAAACAAGAUGACAAUGAGGAAUAUCUAGAAGAGGGAGAUGCAGAUAACAGUGAUGGCAAUGCUGGUGCUGCCGCUGAUGGAGAUGAUGAUGCUGCUGGUGAAGAUGGAGCCCUGGACGCUGUUGUUGCCGAGGAUGAGGGAGAUGGAGCCGAUGACGAUGUAGAUGGAGUUGUCGGCGAAGAUGGAGAUGGAGCUUAUGAUGAUGAAGACGAAGUUGUUGGCGAUGAUGGAGAUGAUGCUGGUGCCGAGGACAAUGAUGGUGGCGCCGCGGAGUAG